UACGUAGGGUGCGAGCGUUGUCCGGAUUUAUUGGGCGUAAAGAGCUCGUAGGCGGUUUGUCGCGUCGGCCGUGAAAUCUCCACGCUUAACGUGGAGCGUGCGGUCGAUACGGGCAGACUUGGAGUUCGGUAGGGGAGGCUGGAAUUCCUGGUGUAGCGGUGAAAUGCGCAGAUAUCAGGAGGAACACCGGUGGGCGGAAGGCGGGUCUCUGGGGCCGUAACUGGACGC
rnacentral:rRNA from 1 species